AACGCACAUUGCGCCCGCCAGUAUUCUGGCGGGCAUGCCUGUUCGAGCGUCAUUUCAACCCUCAAGCCCCAGCGGCUUGGUGUUGGGGACCGGCCCCGCGCCGCCCCCGAAAUGCAGUGGCGACCUCGCCGCAGCCUCCCCUGCGUAGUAGCACAACCUCGCACCGGAGCGCGGAGACGGUCACGCCGUAAAACGCCCAACUUUCUUAGAGUUGACCUCGGAUCAGGUAGGAAUACCCGCUGAACUUAA
rnacentral:misc_RNA from 1 species